rnacentral:tRNA from 1 species
AGGUGUUAUGCCAGAUAAAUUGGAUUACCUUGAUGAGGUAAAAUAUGAAACUAUUGUUUUCUAACACCUG